rnacentral:tmRNA from 1 species
GGGGGCGAUUUUGGAUUCGACGUGGGUUACAAAACUUGAUGGUGCAUGUCGAGAUGGCAGCGAAUCUCGUAAAUCCAAAGCUGUAAACUAUUAGUUGCCAACGACGACAACUACGCUCUAGCCGCUUAAACCCGGUUAGCGGUUCUUAGCAAGCUGCCCAUACCGCGUUAACAACCGUCAUAUAGAAUGGGAUCGUAGCAAAGCAUGUCUGUGGCGGCGCUACUAAACUUUAAACAGGCUCGUGUUAAUCGUCUUGCCCACCGGGCUGACUAGCAUUAAAUCAAUAGGUGGAUCUAAGCAUGUAGAGCCUCAAGCAGCGGACUGACGGACGCGGGUUCAAAUCCCGCCGCCUCCACCA